rnacentral:sRNA from 2 species
UAACUCAGAAGGCCGAAGCUUCCUGUAAGCACGGGGGACCCAUUAUUUGGGGUGAAGCCGCUAUCUGCGGCCGGGUGAUUACUCUUUGACCCGAAUCCGACAGCUAACCUCGCAGGCCGCAAAAAGGAGAGGU